ensembl:lncRNA
ACUGACCUGUCUUUUCAGCAUCAUGGCAUCUGGAGAUAAUUCUCUCAUCAACAUGUCCUAUUGGGAGUGUGGUAAAAGGAGGAUGCGAUUCUUGUAUAUUACAAACAACAACUCGUUUAAUGUUGCUAAACCAAGCACAAACGAGGAUCAGAUGAUCCCUCUCUUUCUUGGAGCUGAUCUGUUCGCAGACACAGAUGUUCACAGUAAAAAUCAGCCCAGAUACCAUGCGAAAUAUGCUAAACGAGGAUUGGCAACCAAACUGGUUUUCCCAUCAGACUACAGAUUCCAAGGACUGCGACUCCCCUAUUCCAACAACAGUCUGUGGUUCUAUAGUGUUCAUGGAGUUUUUCGAGUGGCAUUUGAACUGUAUAGCAAACAAGAUCAGCUCUCAGUUAUGGAGUCAUUUCAGGAUGUAUGGAAAUCUCGAAUAAAUGACAACAACUUGAACAUGACCUAUCAUCUUGGUGCCCAGGAUGUUCAACCCCAAAAUGAUCAAGAUGCGCAAACAAUUUUGGAAAAUAAUACAUGUUCAUCAUACCAAGUCAAUCGACAGUUUGGCGAAGUAGAAACAAACUUCUUUCCAAUAGUCACAGAUCAGUCAGAUAUUUCAGCAGCUUCAGACCAUGACUACUGUUCCUCAGAGCAAACAAACUUAAGCCAGUCUACUUUACUUGCACAGAAACUUCGAAGCCUAGGGGAAAAAGUGAAGUUAUUUACAAGUAUUGAAGCAGAACAUUUGAAGACUGCCACAAAGGUCCUGGACUAUGUUGAAUACUGUAUUACUGGGAUGAUUGACGAGGAAAAACUGAUGGACACUGUGAUGGCCCUGUUUCAAACUCAUUUUCAGAGCUACUCCAUCUACUCAAGCAGUCUGCUGAAGGCUGUGGCAGGUUGGCUUGGCCAGCAGUUCAAUGCAGCCAACAGCACCAUUAGCCACCGGGUUGAAGGUUUUAAGGCCCAACACAUUGAGCACAUUACAAACUUGCCGCCUCCAGAGGAGCUGGCAACUGAACUUUUCCCAGAGGCAAUGCGAAAUCUUCUUACACACUGGAUGGGUCUGAGUGAUGAGGCAGAAAACUGGAAAAGACACAGCGAAUACCCCAUUUUAUUACUUAUUCUAGAAUUUGCUAAUCACAAUCUUAUCACAGGAGUAGCUCAUGUCUUGUAUUCCAGUCUAAUAUGCAAAUAAGUAUACUUCGAUGUAGGUUAUACAUUACAUAUCAUUUGGUCGCAGUUUUGUUGGUUUAUAGCCUUAAAACACAAUUGAUUCCAAAUAAAUAAAAAAAAGUCAAAUGUUUAUGUCCUUUCCACAGCUAGCUGUUGACAGAUGUAGUAUUUUGUCCUAAAAGGAAGAAAAAGACAGCAAAAAGUAUUAAAUGAAAUCUGAAUUUAAUGUUUCUGAAAAUAUUCAGGCUGAAAGUUUGAAUCCAAACACAAGAGGGCAGCAGAGCUUCACGUACUGUUCUCAUCACUGAAAAAUAAAGCACACCUGAACAUCAAGCAUUUCAAAAUUAAAUUUUGUUUGUAAUUCACUUGUAUAACAUAAUACAAUAAUAAUAAAAUAAAUCAAAUAGAAUACAUAUUCACCUGGAUCCAGUCACCAAUGGCUUACGUAGACAAUUCAGUAAUCAAAUUGCUAUGUAUCUUUUUAAAUGUAAUGUGCGUCUUUACGUGUCUCUUUAAAGAAAUGUUAUGCUAUUUUUUUAAAAGAGACAAAUAAUAUUGUCUUAUUUUAAUUGGGCAGCAACAUAUUCAGCUAUGUCUGGUAACUGACAAAUAUAUAUUUUUAUAUCAUUAGCAUAUAUAAAAAAUAUUAUUAAUCAUUAAUUAAAUCAAACUCAUAAGGUUCUACAAAUGAAUUUCUAUGCCUUUUUUGGGGUAAUGAUAUUCAACCAUAUACACUUAUACCUGUUACCUGAAGUAUAUAAGUUUCUUAUCAUGUGGAUAACAUUACAGUAUUAGUCUUUUUCUGUCAUUUACUGAUAUAAACGUCUAAUCAUUUAGGCAUUGCUGUAACUCUUCUAGCAUUCAGCUCAUAUUUAAUUUUCCUUGAUCAAACUGUUGUGGUGUUAUGGCUUUCAGUUGUCACAUCCUCUAUGCGUCCUCAGAACACCCACUUGUCUAUGAGUCAAGUUUUGUUAAAUCUGAAUAUACACUAGUCAACAUUUGAAGUUGUCCCAAAACCAAAAUGUGUUUCUUUAACAAUUCAUGCAUAACAUGUAAGUCUGUUAUUAGUCAAUGUUGUCAUUAAUGAAAUGUCAUCCUUCAUGGCUUUUGACGGUCUACAGAUAUGAUUGUUUUUCUUUGGGUACUCAUAAUUGGGAACUGGUCAUAAUAUUUAAUAUGCCAUCAUUUACCAAUUUACCUGGUCAUAACACCAAAUCAAGACCGAUACUUGACCCUGCAUUGCAUCUGAAAUCGUUUCAUGCCUGCAAAAUGACCUUCAGGAUGUAACAGGGGUGCGAGUGUCCACUCAGAUUGUGAGACGACUUCAUGAAGUUGGCUUGAGAGUCAGAAGCCCAGCACACAAACUGGCACAUCUGCAGUGGGCCACAGAACACCGCAG